rnacentral:rRNA from 1 species
CCUACGGGGGGCUGCAGUGGGGGAUAUUGCGCAAUGGGGGCAACCCUGACGCAGCAACGCCGCGUGAAGGAUGAAGGUCUUCGGAUUGUAAACUUCUUUUAUUAAGGACGAAUAAAGUGACGGUACUUAAUGAAUAAGCUCCGGCUAACUACGUGCCAGCAGCCGCGGUAAUACGUAGGGAGCAAGCGUUGUCCGGAUUUACUGGGUGUAAAGGGUGCGUAGGCGGCUUUGCAAGUCAGAUGUGAAAUCUAUGGGCUCAACCCAUAGCCUGCAUUUGAAACUGUAGAGCUUGAGUGAAGUAGAGGCAGGCGGAAUUCCCCGUGUAGCGGUGAAAUGCGUAGAGAUGGGGAGGAACACCAGUGGCGAAGGCGGCCUGCUGGGCUUUAACUGACGCUGAGGCACGAAAGCGUGGGUAGCAAACAGGAUUAGAUACCCUGGUAGUCAC